rnacentral:rRNA from 1 species
UACGAAGGGUGCAAGCGUUACUCGGAAUUACUGGGCGUAAAGCGUGCGUAGGUGGUUUUUUAAGUCCGUGUGAAAGCCCUGGGCUCAACCUGGGAAUGGCAGUGGAUACUGGAAAGCUAGAGUGCGGUAGAGGGUAGUGGAAUUCCCGGUGUAGCAGUGAAAUGCGUAGAGAUCGGGAGGAACACCAGUGGCGAAGGCGGCUACCUGGACCAGCACUGACACUGAGGCACGAAAGCGUGGGGAGCAAACAGG